GUAGGAAGUCUGUCUAGGUCAAGUUAUUACAAUAGAAUGAAAGGUGUCAGUGACUGUAGGAAGUCUGUCUAGGUCAAGUUAUUACAAUAGAAUGAAAGGUGUCAGUGACUGUAGGAAGUCUGUCUAGGUCAAGUUAUUACAAUAGAAUGAAAGGUGUCAGUGACUGUAGGAAGUCUGUCUAGGUCAAGUUAUUACAAUAGAAUGAAAGGUGUCAGUGACUGUAGGAAGUCUGUCUAGGUCAAGUUAUUACAAUAGAAUGAAAGGUGUCAGUGACUGUAGGAAGUCUGUCUAGGUCAAGUUAUUACAAUAGAAUGAAAGGUGUCAGUGACUGUAGGAAGUCUGUCUAGGUCAAGUUAUUACAAUAGAAUGAAAGGUGUCAGUGACUGUAGGAAGUCUGUCUAGGUCAAGUUAUUACAAUAGAAUGAAAGGUGUCAGUGACUGUAGGAAGUCUGUCUAGGUCAAGUUAUUACAAUAGAAUGAAAGGUGUCAGUGACUGUAGGAAGUCUGUCUAGGUCAAGUUAUUACAAUAGAAUGAAA